rnacentral:lncRNA from 1 species
CACCCGCCCUGACACCGUCCUGAUGGGGGUCCUGCAGAGAAGACUCCUUACUUAGCCCACAGUGCUCCCACCCACCCUCAAUGUAUAACUUCACGUUCAGAAAUGUGUUACCCCCCUCCUCAGACCUCACACAAUUCACGAAUUUCCAAACAGCAGGAAACAGAAACUUCUAAGAAAGCAGAACCCUUGAGUCCAGGUGGGAGAAGGUGCCUGAGAAAACAGCCCUGCCAGAGACAGUACCCCAGCAUCCGGACGUUACUCCACAGACGGCCACGUGAGAGACCGGGAACCACCCUUCCCACCGUACCCCAGCGUCCGGACGCUACUCCACAGACGGCCACGUGAGAGACCGGGAACCACACUUCCCAAGCCUUCUGCACUCCCAAAAACAUCAGCUUCCCGGAAACCUGAGACAUGCUCAAGGAAGAGCACGGUGUGAAGUCAGCUGUGGGUGGAGGAUGACCCAGGUGCCCAGGCAAGAGACUGAAGGCACAAACUGUUUCAGUAUAAUAAAGCAAAUAGAAUAAGAA